AUGAACGCUGGCGGCGUGCCUAAUACAUGCCAGUCGAGCGAACAGACGAGGAGCUUGCUCCUCUGACGUUAGCGGCGGACGGGUGAGUAACACGUGGAUAACCUACCUAUAAGACUGGGAUAACUUCGGGAAACCGGAGCUAAUACCGGAUAAUAUAUUGAACCGCAUGGUUCAAUAGUGAAAGACGGUUUUGCUGUCACUUAUAGAUGGAUCCGCGCCGCAUUAGCUAGUUGGUAAGGUAACGGCUUACCAAGGCAACGAUGCGUAGCCGACCUGAGAGGGUGAUCGGCCACACUGGAACUGAGACACGGUCCAGACUCCUACGGGAGGCAGCAGUAGGGAAUCUUCCGCAAUGGGCGAAAGCCUGACGGAGCAACGCCGCGUGAGUGAUGAAGGUCUUCGGGUCGUAAAACUCUGUUAUUAGGGAAGAACAAAUGUGUAAGUAACUAUGCACGUCUUGACGGUACCUAAUCAGAAAGCCACGGCUAACUACGUG
rnacentral:rRNA from 1 species